GAGUAGCCUCCCUUAGAGGUUCUGUUUGGCUGUUCCCCUGACUCACUGUAAGCAGUCCUCAGAAAGCCUCUUGAGUUUAGAAAAUUUUGCCAGCCAAUGCCAUGGGGGUUGAGAGACUGGAGUCUACAAUUUCUUCGUUUUCUUCUUGAGGCAUCUUGGCAGACUGUCAAACUCUCGAAGCUGUAGUUUUCACAUGUCUAGAAUGUUCUUCCUGGAUUUGUGGUGAGACUCCAGUGAUACUACUCACAAGGAGGGGAGAAUAACUUGUCCAGCAUCACAGAGCCAACAUAGUAUGAAGCUAAAGUAGAAAGCUCACGUGUUCACUUGCCAUACCUGAAGAAUCUUCCAGUACAUUACAAAUCUGCUCAGAAGGAUGAAAAGAAAACACAAGUCUCUCACAGACAUAUAAUGCUUCAUUAAAAGGACAGCAACAGUUGCUGAGAAUCCCAUGCAGCUCUUUCAGCCUAUGAGCAGAAGUGGAAUAUAUAGAGAGCAAGAUUUAAAGAAACAGAGACAGUUACUUGGAUCCAAAAUAAGUGCCUUCUUCCACUAACCCAGCUGUUGCCAGGUCACCUUAUGGAGCUUUCUUUGUGCCAGGUAAAGUACCAGAAGACACAAAGAUGAAGCAAGUAAUGUUUUCUGCUUUUGAGAAGCUCUUGGACAGGAAUAUGCAAAGCAGACAAGUUCUAGCAAGACAUGGGGACAGGCAUCCCA
ensembl:lncRNA